rnacentral:lncRNA from 1 species
GUAUGGUGGCAUAUGCCUGUAGUCCCAGCUACUCCAGAGGCUGAGGUGGGAUAACCACUUGAGCCUGGGAGGUCACGGCUGCAGUGAACCGUCGAUCAUGCCACUGCACUCCAUCCUGGGUGACAGACCCCAUCUCAAAUAAUAAUAAUAUAAGACAGACUUUGGGAAGGAAAGGAGGAAGAUACAAGUGGAAGCCAAGGACUCUGUUCUCACUUGUAAACUGUUUUUGAUAUUCAGGCUCUUGCUUGAGCCAGUUCAUACUGGCUCUGGGUGGAGCGCCCAUUCAGUCCUCAUUACCUUUCAUUAAUUCCUUUCUUCAUCCCAUCUUUGAUUUUUCUCUAGAUUUAGCUCGAUCACAGCACAUCCAGAGCGCUGGGAUGUGUCCUUCUUCACGGGGGGACCGCUCUGGGCUCUGGACUGGUGCCCAGUGCCAGAGGGGGCAGGAGCCUCGCAAUAUGUGGCUCUUUUCUCCAGCCCUGACAUGAAUGAGACACACCCACUGAGCCAGCUUCAUUCGGGUCCUGGGCUGCUCCAGCUCUGGGGCCUUGGGACCUUGCAGCAAGAAAGCUGUCCUGGCAACAGGGCCCACUUUGUCUAUGGGAUUGCUUGUGACAACGGCUGCAUCUGGGACCUCAAGUUCUGCCCCAGUGGAGCAUGGGAACU